GUUGGAUGAAAAUAAAUUUGACUUUCCAUCUGAUUUUUCCACAAGUGUUUAGAGCUCCCUCAUACACAAGAGUUCCCUACAGGUUUUAAACCUGAGAUCCAGGCCAGUGCUGCGCCGUAGCGAGUUAACCUGCUGCCUGUAGCGCCUUCAUCCCACACCGGGCGCUGGUUCAAGUCCCGGCUGCCCCACUUCCCAUCCAGCUCCUGUUAAUGCUCCUGGGAAAGCAGCAGAAGAUGGCCCAGGGACAGCCUACACAGCCUCUUGGGGGUAACCAGUGGAGGGAAGACCUCUCUCUCUCUUCCCUCCCUCUGUAACUCUGCCCUUUCAUUUUUUUUUAAAAAGUUGAGAUGUUCUUAAAACUACAUAAAUAGAGAUUUAGGCAUCUUAUGCAUCAGGAGUUAUGUUGAAUCGUGGAGGAACAGCAAUUAAACUAAAAACACAUAGAAACAACCCCGAAGAACUCCUGCUCAGAAGGGGGGUGAGUAACGGGUACCGCAGCUCACCGUGGACCGGGGACGAUUGGCCGGACCCAGGGCUCAGAGAGAGCACGGGAAGAGAGCAUCGCCUCUCAGAGAUGGCCAGGGAGGUGUCGGGGGUAGAGGAGCAUGGUACCAGAGUUGUCAAAGGGUGGAGCGUGGCUGGGGUGGCCACAGCUGGUGUGGACAUCAGGGGGAGGAGGGUGGCCACAGCUGGUGUGGACAUCAGGGGGAGGAGGGUGGCUGGGGUGGCCACAGCUGGUGUGGACAUCAGGGGGAGGAGGGUGGCUGGGGUGGCCACACCUGGUGGGGACAUCAGGGGAGGAGGGUGGCUGGGGUGGCCACAGCUGCUGGGGACAUCAGGGGGAGGAGUGUGGCUGGGGUGGCCACACCUGGUGGGGACAUCAGUGGAGGAGUGUGGCUGGUGUGGCCCCACAGCUGGUGUGGACAUCAGGGGAGGAGGGUGCCUGAGGUGGCCACACCUGGUGUGGACAUCAGGGGGAGGAUCGUGGCUGGGGUGGCCAGAGCUGGCAGGGCAUCAGGUGGACAGGGCCAGUGCACGGUGCCGGUCCAGGGGUGCAGGGACACGGGAAGCUUCUCACGUGUGUGGCUUCCUGGUGAGGCACAGGGAGCUGCUGAGGCGGGGUCACAGCAGGGGGAGAGGCCUCAGCCUGCACAGCCUCUCACUUUGCAAGGCCCAGAGCCCCGCCCUCGGGCAGGAAUUAAUAACAGGGCUUCCUGCGAUGGCUGUUUGCCACGUGUGUGGCCGGGGGUGAGACGGAGACACAGGACCCAGUGAUGCUCCUACAGCC
rnacentral:lncRNA from 1 species